rnacentral:tRNA from 2 species
GGACAGGUGGCUGAGUGGACGAAAGCGCCCGCCUGCUAAGUGGGUAAGGGGCAACCCUUCCCGGGUUCGAAUCCCGGCCUGUCCGCCA